CCUACGGGAGGCAGCAGUGAGGAAUAUUGGUCAAUGGACGAAAGUCUGAACCAGCCACGUAGCGUGCAGGAUGACUGCCCUCUGGGUUGUAAACUUCUUUUAUAUGGGAAUAAAAUGUUCCUCGUGAGGGAUUUCGUAUGUACCCUAUCAUUAAGGAACGCCUAAAUCCGCGCCAGCAGCGGCGGUAAGACGGUGGGUCCGAGCGUUAUCCGGAUUUAUUGGGUUUAAAGGGAGCCUAUGUCGGUUUGUAAGUCAGUUGUGAAAGUUUGGGGCUCAACCGUAAAAUUGCAGUUGAAACUGGCAGUCUUGAGUACAGUAGAGGUGGGCGGAAUUCGUGGUGUAGCGGUGAAAUGCUUAGAUAUCACGAAGAACUCCGAUUGCGAAGGCAGCUCACUGGACUGCAACUGACGCUGAGGCUCGAAAGUGUGGGUAUCAAACAGGAUUAGAUACCCUUGUAGUC
rnacentral:rRNA from 1 species